CCUCGAUGAGUAGGAGGGCGCGGCGGUCGC
rnacentral:snRNA from 1 species